rnacentral:rRNA from 1 species
AAUGACUCUCGGCAACGGAUAUCUCGGCUCUCGCAUCGAUGAAGAACGUAGCGAAAUACGAUACUUGGUGUGAAUUGCAGAAUCCCGUGAACCAUCGAGUUUUUGAACGCAAGUUGCGCCCAAAGCCAUUAGGCUAAGGGUACGUCUGCCUGGGCGUCACGC